rnacentral:rRNA from 1 species
UACGUAGGGGGCAAGCGUUGUCCGGAAUCAUUGGGCGUAAAGCGCGCGUAGGCGGCCCGGUAAGUCCGCUCUGAAAGUCCAGGGCUUAACCCUGGAAAGCGGGUGGAUACUGCCGGGCUAGAGUCCGGAAGAGGAGAAUGGAAUUCCCGGUGUAGCGGUGAAAUGCGCAGAUAUCGGGAAGAACACCCGUGGCGAAGGCGGUUCUCUGGGACGGUACUGACGCUGAGACGCGAAAGCGUGGGGAGCGAACAGG